GCGGUUUAUUAGCAAGGAAGAGCUUCACUUCUCCCAGCUCCGGACUACUCACGACAAAAUUUGAGGCAUUUUCAUCUUGAGAUUCCCAGAUCCUGUUCACUAAAUGAUAUGGUAUCACAGAGGCAUGGAACUUCUUGAAAUUCCGAGUGAAAGAAUUUAAAAUAGCAACGACGACGGUGGGUCUGGCAGCAGGCAAGAAUCGUCUUUACCAUCGCUGCUGAACGGACCGGGAAGCUGAAUUCUGUGUUCCUCAUCAGCAACUUUAGAGAAUCCAGGAAUAGUUUUUCAAAACAGCAGCUUUUGUGGAAGUGAAGAAACGCAGUCUAAAAGUUGUUUCCGCCCGGUUUCGAACCGGGGACCUUUCGCGUGUGAGGCGAACGUGAUAACCACUACACUA
rnacentral:lncRNA from 1 species